AUCUAAAUAGCUUAUAUAGAGCAUGGUUUUGAAGCAGCCACGGAGAGUUUAUCUUUAGAUA
rnacentral:tRNA from 1 species